UGGGGAAUAUUGGACAAUGGGCGAAAGCCUGAUCCAGCCAUGCCGCGUGUGUGAAGAAGGUCUUCGGAUUGUAAAGCACUUUCAGUUGGGAGGAAGGGCAGUAAGCGAAUACCUUGCUGUUUUGACGUUACCGACAGAAUAAGCACCGGCUAACUCUGUGCCAGCAGCCGCGGUAAUACAGAGGGUGCAAGCGUUAAUCGGAAUUACUGGGCGUAAAGCGCGCGUAGGUGGUUCGUUAAGUUGAAUGUGAAAGCCCCGGGCUCAACCUGGGAACUGCAUCCAGAACUGGCGAGCUAGAGUAGGGCAGAGGGUGGUGGAAUUUCCUGUGUAGCGGUGAAAUGCGUAGAUAUAGGAAGGAACACCAGUGGCGAAGGCGACCACCUGGGCUCAUACUGACACUGAGGUGCGAAAGCGUGGGGAGCAAACAGG
rnacentral:rRNA from 1 species